rfam:Stegodyphus mimosarum contig84609, whole genome shotgun sequence.
GCCUUCGUGGUGUAGUGGUCAGCACGCUCAAAGCGCAACCGAGAAGUCUGUGGUUCGAUUCCCGGCGAAGGCU